CUCGUAGGCGGCUCUUCAAGUCGGUUGUAAAAUCUCCCGGCUCAACUGGGAGGCACCAUCCGAUACUGUUGAGCUCGAGGGCAGCAGAGGGAGGUAGAAUUCCCGGUGUAGUGGUGGAAUGCGUAGAUAUCGGGAGGAAUACCAGUGGCGAAAGCGGCCUCCUGGGCUGUUUCUGACGCUGAUGCCCGAAAGCGUGGGGAGCAAACAGGAUUAGAUACCCUGGUAGUCC
rnacentral:rRNA from 1 species